rnacentral:rRNA from 1 species
UGGGGAAUAUUGCACAAUGGGCGCAAGCCUGAUGCAGCCAUGCCGCGUGUAUGAAGAAGGCCUUCGGGUUGUAAAGCACUUUCAGCGGGGAGGAAGGCGUUAAGGUUAAUAACCUUGGCAAUUGACGUUACCGACAGAAGAAGCACCGGCUAACUCCGUGCCAGCAGCCGCGGUAAUACGGAGGGUGCAAGCGUUAAUCGGAAUUACUGGGCGUAAAGCGCACGCAGGCGGUUGAUUGAGUCAGAUGUGAAAUCCCCGGGCUUAACCCGGGAAUUGCAUCUGAUACUGGUCAGCUAGAGUCUUGUAGAGGGGGGUAGAAUUCCAUGUGUAGCGGUGAAAUGCGUAGAGAUGUGGAGGAAUACCGGUGGCGAAGGCGGCCCCCUGGACAAAGACUGACGCUCAGGUGCGAAAGCGUGGGGAGCAAACAGG